rnacentral:rRNA from 1 species
CACCGCCCGUCACGCCAUGGAAGCCUGCUGUACCGGAAGUCGGCGCGCCAACCCGCAAGGGAGGCAGCCGCCCAUGGUAUGACCGGUGACUGGGGCG